AUGCGUGGGGCACAAGCGUUAUCCGGAUUUAUUGGGCGUAAAGAGAUGCGUAGGCUUUCCAGCAUGUCCCUUGUCAAAGCCCCCGGCUCAACCGGGGAAAGGCAUUGGAAACUACUGGAAUUGAGACAGGGAGAGGAAAGUAGAAUUCCCGGUGGAGCGGUGAAAUGCGUUGAUAUCGGGAGGAACACCAGUGGCGAAGGCGACUUUCUGGUCCUGUUCUGACGCUGAGGCUCGAAAGCGUGGGUAGCGAAACGGAUUAGAUACCCGUGUAGUCCACGCCGUAAACGAUGGAUACUAGAUGUUCGAUUCGACUGUAUACUUCUUUCGAGAAAUGUGCAGAAGAGUUGAGUGUCGUAGCUAACGCGUCAAGUAUCCCGCCUGGGAAGUACGACCGCAAGGUUAAAACUCAAAGGAAUUGGCGGGGAGGCGCACAAGCAGUGGAGCGCGUGGUUUAAUUCGACGGCAAUCGAAGAACCUUACCAGGGCUUGACAUAUAGCUGCAUGCCUUUCGAAAGAUAGGCAGCCUUCGAGGGUGCUAUACAGGUGCUGCAUGGCCGUCGUCAGCUCGUGUCCGUGAGAUGUAGGGUUAAGUCCCGAAACGAGGCGCAACCCUUAUCCUGUGUUAUAUGUUUCUCAGGAGACCGCCUCGGUAAAACGGGGAGGAAGGUGGGGAUGACGUCUGGUCCGCAUGGCCCUUAUGUCCUGGGCUACACACGCGCUACAAUGGCCGAUACAACGGGUUGCCAAACCGUAAGGUGGAGCUAAUCCCAUCAAAGUCGGUCUCAGUUCGGAUUGAGGUCUGCAACUCGACCUCAUGAAGUUGGAAUUGCUAGUAAUCGCGAAUCAGCCAUGUCGCGGUGAAUACGUUCUCGCCUCUUGCACACACCGCCCGUCAUAUCAUGAAAGCCGGGGGUACCCGAAGGCAUCAUGUUCCGCUUCGGCGGGAGCAGGUGUCGAAGGUAAACUUGGUGAUUGGGAUA
rnacentral:rRNA from 1 species